CCUACGGGGGGCAGCAGUGGGGAAUAUUGGGCAAUGGGCGCAAGCCUGACCCAGCAACGCCGCGUGAAGGAAGAAGGCUUUCGGGUUGUAAACUUCUUUUGUCAGGGACGAAGCAAGUGACGGUACCUGACGAAUAAGCCACGGCUAACUACGUGCCAGCAGCAGCGGUAAUACGUAGGUGGCAAGCUUUCCCCGGAUUUACUGGGUGUAAGGGGCGUGUAGGCGGGACUGCAAGUCAGAUGUGAAGACCACGGGCUCAACCUGUGGCCUGCAUUUGAAACUGUAGUUCUUGAGUACGGGAGAGGCAGACGGAAUGCGUGGUGUAGCGGUGAAAUGCGUAGAUAUUA
rnacentral:rRNA from 1 species